GGGCGGGUUUAUACCCCGAAGAGCGGGUGGUGUAUAAAGAGAGCGGUCCCAGGAGCGGCUCUGCCCCCGGGAUGGGGGCUGGCGGGAGGGGACAACAAGGGUCGUUAUCUGGGGUGAUGCUACCGGGGUGAUGCCAAACGUGUGCCCGCAAAAGCGAAGCGCAGGAGCCCUCCCUCUCCGAAGGACGAGCCACCGCGGGGCAGGGACGCUGGAAAGUAGCUGGAAAAUAAUUGUAAUAACUCAGCAAACUCCCAGCGUCCACUGCACUGCUGCGUUGUAGCCACAGGGACACGCGUGGAGAGGAGGCUCAGGAAGAGGCAGGAGCACAGGGCAGGAACCUGCCCUUGGGAAGCAGCCGGCAGUGCAGUGGGAAACAGUCGGUAACUCCACCCAGUCACUAGUUCUACUUGGUGGGCAUCAGGCAGCAUAACGUAGAGGGGAGAAGAGGACCAAGAAGAACAAGUAUGCACUUCCUGGUGGUGCAUGGGUGAGACCAGAGAUGCUCCUCACUCCAGAUCACUGCCCCUGAGCAAGCAGCUGAAGGUGCAGUGCAGGUGGGUCUGAGCCUGAAACAUUGAUGUGGCAUUUAAUCUUGAAAAUGUGCAAUGUGCUGUUUGUUCCACAGCUGGGUGGGCAGUUGAACAGUCCUAUAUUAGAGCCUCAGGAGGCCUUGCAGCAUCUCCCAGACUGUGCCCUGUGGCCUUUUAGGUCAGCAGCAGCAUCCAUCAGUGGAUGCCUUCUGCAGGAAGCCAGCCUGGCUUUACUGCCCAGCACUGCCUCACAGAGGGACAAUAUUACAUCAUUAUAUAUCAUACAAUAUCAUAUUGCCAAGACCUGGCAACCAAAGCCUCCUACAACUUAAUGACCACUGGGUACAGCAAUAUUUGUGAAGUGGUUUUUGCCUGUACAUAAAGCAGCGAGGUGACCAUCACAUUUUAGCAAGCCCAGUGACAGAAGCAAACGCUGAUUUCAGCACCAGAAGUGAUUCCAUUAAAUGUGGUCCUGAAGCUCAAAGCCCACGCGAUAGGAGGGAUCAUGCCAACCACAUCUUUUCACUCACCAUUCAUGCUACGUGUGCCCCAGGGCUCAGCCGGGGUUGGUCCUAGUUCGGACAGUGGCUGUGGUUUAGGGAGCACUGAGCGGCGCGGUGGGACCGCUGUGACUUUGGGAGUUCUCCCUGUGGGCCCAUCACGGUGCUGGCUUUGGAGGGAGCUCUGUGGAGGCCCUCAGGCCCGUUGGGGUCCACCCCUUGGUCUUCUUAACCCACAGGAACCCAAACACCUGUGUGGGGUGGCACCCGGGGGAAUGCCUGGUGACCACAGAGACCAGCACCUGCUAAAGCUGCAGUGCCUGGAGCCUUUUGGUGCAAGGAUGUUACUGAAUCAGCUUUACUUUGUAUGAGGUGCGCCAGGGCUAAAGCUUGCGUACGUGCCACAGUUUUGCUGUUUCCCAGCA
rnacentral:lncRNA from 1 species